UUUCCGUAGGUGUACCUGCGGAAGGAUCAUUAUUGUAUAACCGAGGUGCGAGGGCUGUCGCUGACCCGAAAGGUCGUGCACGCCCGAGUGCCCUCACACACAUCCAUCUCACCCCUAUGUGCACCACCGCGUGGGUCCCCCUUUGGCUUGUUCGGAGGGGGGCUUACGUUUUCACACAAACUUUGUAUGCAGUGUAGAAUGUAUUUUUGUUUUUGCGAUCACGCAAUCAAUACAACUUUCAACAACGGAUCUCUUGGCUCUC
rnacentral:misc_RNA from 1 species